CACACUGGCACUGCGACACGGGCCAGACUCCUACGGGAGGCAGCAGUGAGGAAUAUUGCGCAAUGGGCGAAAGCCUGACGCAGCGACGCCGCGUGGGGGAUGAAGGUCUUCGGAUUGUAAACCCCUUUCGGGAGGGAAGACGGGACGGGAAACCGUCCGGACGGUACCUCCAGAAGCAGCCACGGCUAACUUCGUGCCAGCCGCCGCCGUAACAC
rnacentral:rRNA from 1 species